rnacentral:tRNA from 1 species
GCGGGUAUGGCGGAAUUGGCAGACGCGCUAGACUUAGGAUCUAGUGGGAGACCGUGGGGGUUCAAGUCCCUUUACCCGUACCA